GAGCCUUUUUUGUUUCCCUUUCUGAAUCUCAUCUCAUUAGAAUGGGAGACUGGUACCCUUCAAAGCUUCCACAGGUCCUUGUUGGCAUAAAUGAUGGUUAAACCUGAGUUUAUCUUUCAACUGGAGCAAAACUGACAGGGCAGCUGUGCACUUGUAGCUGGAAAGUUUCAGAGGACGCUUGCUGAGUGCCGCUGCAGCAGUCAUGACUGCUGGCUUCAUGAUUUCAAGAAUAUUCAUGCUUUGCCUAAUAAAGGGAGUGACUUAUGCCUCUGCUUUCCCAGGAGCCAGUACUGGGUACACACCAUGGCAAGAUGGAGGACAGAAACGGGAAGUACUGGGUUACCGCCGCCCUCUGCAUUAUGUUCGCUCUCUGAGACAGCUGAAGAAUAAUCUGAUCAACACAAGACAAAACCCUCAAAGGAGUGGUGUGAAGGAUUUGACCCCUGGUCAGACUUUUAGGCAAACUCCACAUCAUCUUUGGCCACAGAACCUUCCAGUCCAACCUGCACCACAAAGAAACUACCCUUUGGUUCAACCCCGAGGUUUCAGGAUCAGCUUGGAUCUCCCUUUUUAUAAACUCGAUCAAAUGAAAGAAACCAACUCUCCCACCAAAGUCUUUCUGCAAACUGACCCCAAACUCCAGACUAAACCAAAUGUUCAAAGUGGCCUCAGCAUUUCUGAGUUUCAAAGCCCUGAGAGAGAUUCCAAAAAGGAUCCAAAAGCUGGAAAGAAUAUCCAUGGUGUUCCCACUUCAACCUUCCAGGUCAACCUUACCGUUCCCCCUCCCGCUGCAUCUUUAAAGCCAAUAAAACCCAUUGGCAUGCUUGUUGAAAACCAAAACCCAGGAAAUAUCUUUCAGACCAGUUAUGGAGAUCUAGGGAAAAGGUUGAGUUCUAUAUAUACUGAAUUGAAAUCCCCCACCAUCAACCAGAAAGCACGUGAACAAACCAGAAAGCAACUGGUUUCAACAUGGUCUAACUAUCCUGCUACUGGACCCAAGCAAACUCUACAGCAGCCAGAUGAGUCGACUUACACCCAACCUACUGAGGGCAAACUGACCUCUUCAACAUGGCAAUUAAACCAGCACAAAAUUUCCCCACAAAGAAACUAUGAUACUCCCACAACCAGGCAGAGUUUGGCACCACAAAAACCAGAUUCAACCAAACCACUGUCUUUGUCUUUUGUUAAGUAUCUUGAACGUUUGGGUCUCAACAAAGCCCAAACAAGCCCAACGAGAGAAGACUUAGUUCAGCCUUAUUCAAAACCAAAGCUACAUUUGUCUCCUCCUCAAUAUAACAGAGGAUCUCAAGAUAACAAAUAUGUUGGUGUUGGUUCUCAAAGUGUUGCUGCUAAUGUCAAAGAUUUCACAAGCGAUCAAAAAGGUGAAAAGGAACAAGAUUCUGCAGUUCCCACCCUACAACUAGAAUUUUCCUUCCCAGUUAAAAAAUUGUCAAACCUCACUAAAGGUGGUGGGUACUUGACUAUCAAACCUCAAAAUGUUGAGUCUCUAUUGACUCAAUACAUGGCGGCAAAAAAACUACAAUUACCGGAGAGUGAAUUAAAAAAGUCAGCUUUAGGCUUUGAUGCUGGGGACCACAGAACAACUGGGCUUCCUGAAAGGAAACGGCCAAUCCUAAAUAUUGAACCAAAACAGAAGAAACCACCUCCUUAUGAGCCUGUUACUGACGAACCUACAGGCAGAAAGCCAAGCUUUUCAUCCUGGUUUCCAAGAGAUUCAGAGAUUGGAAAGCCUCAGUUUCCAGUCCGGGGAAUUUCAAAAUACCUCAUUGAUGUUACACGACCCUUAAAUGGCAAAUAUCAAACCAUCCAGCCAAAAUCACUGCAAUCUGAAAGGCUUCAAAGUUUCUACAGUUCUCUGAAGCCCAUCACAAACCGCUAUGUGGAAAGUCAGCCUAGACCUUCAUCCAGCCUUUAUGCUUCUACACAUGACAAUCCCUUUAAACCAUACAGUGAUCUCCAAAAGAAUGCUGAGAUUGAUUCAAGUCCACAUCACCGCCUGUUCGCUUAUGGCAGUUCAUCCUUUAAUUCUCCCAUGUUGGAAGUUGUUCCUUCAAAAAGGCCACAAACAUGGCAGAAACCAAUUUCUUCCCUUUAUCUUCACGAGUCCAACCGUGGAAAAGAACCUUCUUAUGAUACUUUUGAAGAUGUAGCCGCUCUGCACAGUCUGCCAAGUGGAUAUAAAGUUCAAAAGAAACUUCCUGAGCAAGACGACCGUGGACAUAUUAAAGAGGGAAAAGAUUACUAUGUGAAACCCUUUGACACUAAUGAAGGAGGUUCUGUCUCUUGGCAGAUGUACCAGACUGGAAACACUGCGAGGACAUCCUUUAAUGUACAACCCCCAUGUAGAGCUUCAUUCUCUAGGCUUGGCCAAUAUGGGUCUUUUUCAGACCUUCGCUACCCUUACCUAAAUGCAGAAUCUCAGCCUUGCAGUCAAGUACCUUGCAUCAACGGUGUAGGUAAAUGUGUUAAUGAACCUAAUAAACAGAACACAAAUUUUCCACAAAGGGUUAGUUACUUGCCAAAGGCAGAGGCAAUUUCUGUUUCUAUUCCUUUCAGUACUUUUGAACGCAUUUUUACUCAAUCAAGCUACCAGCCUGCUCAAAAUGGCUUUAAGCUCCAGCAAUACCCUGUUGGACAAGGACAGCCUUGAAGGUUCAUGUGACUUAUGACAAUAUACUGCCAUUGGUGCCGUCAGGUCAUGAACAUGUUGAACUUUGGCUUAAAUUGUGCAGUCUGCUCAUUCCUUUUUCUUCUGCUCAUUUAAAUAAUUAAUAAAAUGUCUGCUUCAAAAUGUGAACUGUUCCAGGUAUUAUCACUAAUUAGUUCCCACCAGCAACAUAGUCAUUGUUUGAAGGUACACUUAAUUUUAAUCCUGCAUGUUUUCACUAAUUUCUCAUCACAUUCUGCUGUGACCCUGGUUCAACAGUGAGUAUUGCAUAGCCCUGUCAACCUAAAGCAGUUGAACUUCAGGACUCUGGUUUAGUAAAAUGCAUCUAGAUGCAUGUGUGAAACCCACAACUUUUGCUGGCUUUAAAAAUAAACCAGACUCUCCAAAGAGUGAUGCAGGCAAUGCAGGUUAACCUGAAGUGCAAGGAACAGGAUCUAAAGUUCCCCUUUCUCAAAUAAAAUGGCAAAACCUA